rnacentral:rRNA from 1 species
UAGGGAAUAUUGGGCAAUGGCCGAGAGGCUGACCCAGCCAUGCCGCGUGCAGGACGAAGGCUUUCUGAGUCGUAAACUGCUUUUGCCAGGGAAGAAUAAGGGGGAUGCGUCCUCCGACGACGGUACCUGGUGAAUAAGCACCGGCUAACUCCGUGCCAGCAGCCGCGGUAAUACGGAGGGUGCAAGCGUUGUCCGGAUUUAUUGGGUUUAAAGGGUGCGUAGGCGGUUCUUUAAGUCCGGGGUGAAAGCCCACUGCUCAACAGUGGAACUGCCCUGGAAACUGGAGAACUUGAGUACAGACGAGGGCGGCGGAAUGGAUGGUGUAGCGGUGAAAUGCAUAGAUACCAUCCAGAACCCCGAUUGCGAAGGCAGCUGCCUAGACUGUAACUGACGCUGAGGCACGAAAGCGUGGGGAGCGAACAGG